rnacentral:tmRNA from 1 species
UAUCUUGACAUCUUGUUGAAAAGAUGUUAUAAAUAUACAGUAACGUUGAAGCAAACUCAACACCAGACAGGACCCCGGGGCGGUACCGGGCGGCUCCACCAAAAAUACUUCGAUCCCUCAAAUUACAUUGACGAGGGUGUCAUUUGAGGGGCCGAACUAGGAUCGACUGAUGGUUAUUAGGUUCGGUGGAGUUACCGGUAGGCGAUGACCGUAAAUCAAGCAAACUUUAUAAACGCAAACGAUAACUUUGCUAACGAGGAUUUUGCCUUAGCGGCAUAAUUGCUCGGGGUUACCUAAGCCUGGCAACAGAAUUUGGAUU